UACAGAGGUCUCAAGCGUUGUUCGGAUUCAUUGGGCGUAAAGGGUGCGUAGGCGGCGGGGCAAGUCAGGUGUGAAAUCCCGGAGCUCAACUCCGGAACUGCACUUGAUACUGCCUCGCUAGAGUACUGGAGAGGAGACUGGAAUUUACGGUGUAGCAGUGAAAUGCGUAGAUAUCGUAGGGAAGACCAGUGGCGAAGGCGAGUCUCUGGACAGUUACUGACGCUGAGGCACGAAGGCCAGGGGAGCAAACGGG
rnacentral:rRNA from 1 species